CUAAGAAUAUUCCGCAAUGGGCGAAAGCCUGACGGAGCGACGCCGCGUGGAUGACGAAGGCCGAAAGGUUGUAAAAUCCUUUUGCGGGCGAAGAAGAAGGCCUGGAGGGAAUGCCAGGCCGGUGACGCCGGCCCGCGAAUAAGCCCCGGCUAAUUACGUGCCAGCAGCCGCGGUAACACGUAAGGGGCGAGCGUUGUUCGGAAUUAUUGGGCGUAAAGGGCGCGUAGGCGGCCGGCCAAGUCCGGCGUGAAAUACCGGGGCUCAACCCCGGGGCUGCGCUGGAAACUGGCAGGCUCGAGUCGCGGAGGGGAAGCCGGAAUUCCUGGUGUAGGGGUGAAAUCUGUAGAUAUCAGGAAGAACACCGAUGGCGAAGGCAGGCUUCCAGCCGGCGACUGACGCUGAGGCGCGAAAGUGCGGGGAGCAAACAGGAUUAGAUACCCUGGUAGUCCGCACUGUAAACGAUGCACACUAGGCGUCGGGGCGAGCGUCCCGGUGCCGAAGCCAACGCGGUAAGUGUGCCGCCU
rnacentral:rRNA from 1 species